UACGGAGGAUGCAAGCGUUAUCCGGAAUGAUUGGGCGUAAAGCGUCCGCAGGUGGCAAUGUAAGUCUGCUGUUAAAGAGUCUAGCUCAACUAGAUAAGAGCAGUGGAAACUACAUAGCUAGAGUACGUUCGGGGCAGAGGGAAUUCCUGGUGUAGCGGUGAAAUGCGUAGAGAUCAGGAAGAACACCGGUGGCGACGGCGCUCUGCUAGGCCGUAACUGACACUGAGGGGCGAAAGCUAGGGGAGCGAAUGGG
rnacentral:rRNA from 1 species